rnacentral:rRNA from 1 species
UGAGGAAUUUUGCGCAAUGGAGCAAUCCUGACGCAGCAACGCCGCGUGGGUGAAGAAGGCCUUCGGGUCGUAAAGCCCUGUCAGGUGGGAAGAAGGGUCCUAUCAGGAAAGGGGUGGGAUUUGACGGUACCACCAGAGGAAGCACCGGCUAACUCCGUGCCAGCAGCCGCGGUAAUACGGAGGGUGCGAGCGUUAUUCGGAAUUACUGGGCGUAAAGCGCGUGUAGGCGGGGGAGCAAGUCUGAUGUGAAAGCCCCGGGCUUAACCCGGGAAGUGCAUUGGAAACAGUUGUUCUUGAGUACUGGAGAGGAAGGGGGAAAGCCAGGUGUAGAGGUGAAAAUCGUAGAGAUCGGGAGGAAUACCAGUGGCGAAGGAGACCUGCUGGACGGUUAAUGACGCUGAGACGCGAAAGCGUGGGGAGCAAACAG